CCCGACUGCUAUCGGAUGNAGAUUUAGCCAUGCGAGUCGAACGUCCCCCUGUUGCGGGGGGCGUGGCGUACGGCUCAGUAACACGUAGUCAACCUGCCCUGGAGACGUGGACAACCCCGGGAAACUGGGAUUAAUCCAUGAUAGGUCAUCUCAUCUGGAAGGAGAGAUGGCUUAAAGGGGUGCGAGAGCUUCUUUCUUGUAUCCGCUCCAGGAUGGGACUGCGACCGAUCAGGCUGUUGGCGGGGUAAUGGCCCACCAAACCUGUAACCGGUACGGGCCUUGAGAGAGGGGGCCCGGAGAUGGACACUGAGAGAAGGGUCCAGGUCCUACGGGGCGCAGCAGGCGCGAAACCUUCGCAAUGCACGAAAGUGUGACGAGGUUAAUCCNGAGUGGUCUCCGCUGAGGGGAUCUUUUGCCGGCUGUAAAAUGUCUCGGUGAAUAACGGGGAGG
rnacentral:rRNA from 1 species